UGGAGGUGGUCCAGUUGCCAACUAAUCAUGGGAAAAAGCCUGAUAAUUAAUUAACAAAUGAAAUAAAAAUUAAUAAUUCAAUUCACAUUCCCAUCCAUCAAUUCUAAAACCCUUUUCUCUUCUUCUCCUCCUCCUUCCUUUGAUAUGCUAUUUUGAUCUCUUCUUCUCGAGUCUUCAUGGCUUCUUCGAGCUCUGUAACCUCAAUUCCUGCUCCAGAGGCCAUUCAGGUUCUGGUCUCUUCCCUCGCGGAUGAAUCAUCCAUUGUCCGUGAAGCCUCCAUGGCCUCUCUUAAGGAUAUCUCCUCCCUGAACCCGCUUCUGGUACUUGAUUGUUGCUCGGCGGUUUCUCGAGGAGGACGUCGACGAUUUUGGAACGUGGCUGGGGUAUUUCAAGUAAUGGCACUGGGAGUGCGAGCAUUAGAUAAACGAGAUGUUGAUCCAUCUUAUAUGGCAAAGCUUGCAAAGAUUGCUACUACCGAGAUGAUCUCCUCCAAGGAGCUCAAUGCUGACUGGCAAAGGGCUGCAGCUGGCCUACUUGCUUCAAUAGGCUCACAUUUGCCUGACCUGAUGAUGGAAGAAAUAUUUCUACAUUUAUCUGGGCCUAGUUCAGCUUUGCCAGCUAUGGUUCAAAUACUUGCUGACUUUGCUUCUGCUGAUGCUUUGCAAUUUACUCCAAGACUGAAAGGUGUACUUUCACGAGUUUUACCUAUACUUGGAAAUGUACGGGAUGCUCAUCGGCCGAUAUUUGCACAUGCAUUUAAAUGCUGGUGUCAGGCUGCUUGGCAAUAUAACAUGGACUUCCCCUCACAUUCCCCUCUUGAUGCUGAUGUCAUGUCAUUUCUAAAUUCUGCUUUUGAGCUUUUAUUGAGAGUUUGGGCAAUUUCUCGGGAUCUUAAGGUCCGCACAUCUUCUGUUGAAGCGUUAGGUCAGAUGGUUGGUCUUAUCACCCGGACACAACUAAAGGCAGCCUUACCAAGACUUGUCCCUACUGUAUUGGAAUUGUAUAAAAAGGAUCAAGAUAUUGCCCUUCUUGCAACAUCUAGUCUUCACAAUCUCUUGAAUGCCUCGUUACUGUCUGAAACUGGUCCACCAUUGCUUGAUUUUGAGGAUCUCACAGUUAUUCUAUCAACACUUCUCCCAGUAGUUUGCAUAAACAAUGAUAGCAAAGAGCAUUCAGAUUUUUCAGUGGGAUUGAAGACCUACAAUGAAGUUCAGCGUUGUUUUUUGACCGUUGGCUUGGUAUACCCUGAUGAUUUGUUUGCAUUCCUUCUGAAUAAAUGCCGAUUAAAGGAAGAGUCUUUAACUUUUGGUUCACUAUGUGUUUUAAAGCAUCUCUUACCAAGGUCAUCUGAAGCUUGGUAUAAUAAGAGGCCUUUACUAGUUGAGGCAGUAAAGUCCUUGCUAGAUGAGCAAAAUUUAGGUGUCCGAAUGGCUUUGUCAGAGUUGAUUGUAGUUAUGGCCUCACACUGCUAUUUGGUUGGUCCAUCUGGGGAAUUAUUCGUUGAAUACCUUGUGCGCCAUUGUGCUCUAUCAGAUGUUGAUAGAAAUGAUCCAGAGAACUCUAAGGUGAAGUUAGGGAGAUUUUGUCCAAUAGAGUUGCGAGCAAUUUGUGAGAAAGGCCUUCUUCUGAUAACUAUUACAAUUCCAGAAAUGGAGCAUAUUCUUUGGCCUUUUCUAUUGACUAUGAUUAUUCCACGGGUUUAUACUGCUGCUGUUGCAACGGUUUGCAGAUGCAUCUCAGAAUUAUGCAGGCAUAGAUCUUCUAAUAUUAGUAGUAUGCUUAGUGAGUGCAAAGCUCGUGCUGAUAUUCCAAGUCCUGAGGAGUUGUUUGCCCGCUUGCUGGUGCUUUUGCAUGAUCCUCUGGUGAGGGAGCAGCUGGCUACUCAGAUUUUGACAGUCCUUUGUUAUUUGGCACCUCUCUUUCCGAAGAAUAUCAACUUGUUUUGGCAAGAUGAGAUUCCUAAAAUGAAGGCAUAUGUUAGCGACACAGAAGACUUAAAGCUGGAUCCUUCUUACCAAGAGACUUGGGAUGACAUGAUAAUCAAUUUUCUUUCAGAAUCCUUGGAUGUGAUUCAAGACCCUGAUUGGGUGAUCUCUCUUGGAAAUGCUUUUACAAACCAAUAUGAACUCUAUACACCAGAUGAUGAACAUGCUGCACUUCUUCACCGGUGCCUUGGUAUGCUUCUACAGAAAGUUGAUAACAGGGCAUAUGUUCGAAAUAAGAUUGAUUGGAUGUAUAAACAGGCUAAUAUUGCUAUUCCAACCAAUAGGCUUGGUUUAGCAAAAGCCAUGGGAUUGGUUGCAGCCUCCCACUUAGACACUGUGUUGGACAAGCUGAAAGACAUUCUGGCAAAUGUUGGGCAAAGUAUUUUUCAAAGGUGAAUGUUAGGCUUCAAGGAUAGUCUCCUCAACAAGAUCCACCACUAACUUCAGUUGUGUGAUGCAGAUAUUUGAAAAGAAUCUUAUCCAUUUAUUCUAUAUCUGUUUUGGGAUGAAUACCUUCUCUUUUUAGCUUUUGUUCUUUAUGGUCUAUGUUUCCCCUUGCAUGAUAUCUUUUCCUCCUUUCUACUAAACCCUGGCAAAGUUGGGAGUUGGGACCCCUAACGCUUCGUCAAAUAUUAAAUAGUGUUCUAUGGUUUCCAAUAUCAUCUACAAUGGUUAUUCAGACAUUUGGAUUAAUAGUAUGAACAAGAAUAAUAAUCAUUCAGAAGUGGGCCAUGUUUUUGGUGUAAUGAUGAAGUUCUCAACUGCAAGGGCUAAGGUUUGAGAACUGAGAGCAACCAUUUCAUGCAGAAGAUGAAGUGUAAGGCUGUGUCCAUAUAUUUCAAAAUUCUUCCAUAAGCCCAUAACUGCCUUUUGUUAUUAUGUCUAAUAUUAAUAUAGAGAAGUUGAAUGAAUGACUAAUCAAAUUUCUUCUCCCAAAUUUGAUUCUUGAGACUCUUUUUUUCCCAACUGAGUAAGAGUUCUGUAAAAGUGGGGGCAUGAGAAGCAAUCAGGCACUGAUGUCUGAUUUUAUCAUGUUAACUGUUAGUGGUGAUGCUGAAUGGUUUAUAGCAUCAUUUUUGCAGAUUGCUGUCUUUUUUCUCUGAUAGCUAUAAAACUGAAGAGUCUGAUGAUAUACAUGCUGCCUUGGCUCUGAUGUAUGGAUAUGCUGCAAGAUAUGCUCCAUCAACAGUUAUUGAAGCAAGAAUAGAUGCUCUUGUUGGGACUAAUAUGCUCUCACGGCUUCUUCAUGUACGCCACCCUACAGCAAAGCAGGCUGUAAUUACUGCGAUUGACUUACUAGGUCGUGCUGUCAUUAAUGCUGCGGAAAAUGGUGCAUCAUUUCCACUGAAAAGAAGAGACCAGUUGCUUGACUAUAUAUUAACUUUGAUGGGCAGAGAUGAAAAUGACGGUGUUGCUGAUUCCAGUCUUGAACUUCUGCAUACCCAGGCACUGGCUUUAAGUGCUUGCACUACCUUGGUCUCUGUGGAGCCAAAGCUGACAAUUGAAACUAGAAAUCAUGUUAUGAAGGCAACCUUAGGGUUCUUCGCUUUACCAAAUGAACCAGUGGAUGUUGUGAAUCCCCUUAUAGACAAUCUUAUUACCCUCUUAUGUGCAAUUCUUCUUACAAGUGGAGAGGAUGGAAGAAGUCGAGCAGAGCAGCUAUUGCAUAUUUUGAGACAAAUAGAUCAAUAUGUUUCUUCACCAGUUGAUUAUCAAAGGAGAAGAGGUUGUCUUGCAGUGCAUGAGAUGCUUCUCAAGUUUCGGAUGCUCUGUGUCAGUGGAUAUUGUGCACUUGGGUGCCAUGGAAGUUGCACGCACAGCAAGCAAAUUGAUCGCACCCUGCACGGCAACUUUUCUAACUUACCCUGUAAUAUUAUUUCCUAUCAGAUAGUCAAACAUCUACUUUCUUAAACUCAAAUCAUGCCAUUUCUUUUGUGUGACUGCCAGCGGCUUUUGUUUUGCCGAGUCGUGAAGCCCUAUGUUUGGGAGAGAGGGUCAUUAUGUAUCUUCCGCGGUGUGCAGACACUAAUUCUGAAGUUAGGAAAGUUUCUGCCCAGAUUCUGGAUCAACUCUUCAGCAUCUCUCUUUCACUUCCAAAGCCUGUAGGUUCUAGUACUGGUGUGGAUGUAGAAUUGUCGUAUGGUGCUUUAUCAUCCCUUGAGGAUGUCAUAGCCAUCUUGAGAAGUGAUGCUUCCAUUGAUCCAUCUGAGGUUUUCAACAGAAUAGUUUCAUCCAUCUGUAUUUUAUUGACUAAGAAUGAGCUUGUAGCCACUCUGCAUGGUUGCACAGCAGCUAUAUGUGAUAAGAUCAAGCAGUCAGCUGAAGGGGCCAUCCAAGCUGUUAUUGAGUUUGUGUCAAAGAGGGGGAAGGAGCUGAGUGAAACUGAUGUUACAAGGACAACCCAAUCAUUGCUCUCUGCUGUGGUUCAUGUAACUGAGAAGCAUUUGCGUUUGGAAACUCUUGGAGCUAUUUCUUCUUUAGCUGAAAAUACUAGUUCAAAAAUUGUCUUUGAUGAAUUAUUGGCCUCUGCUGCAAGGGAUAUAGUCACUAAGGAUAUCUCUAGGCUACGAGGUGGCUGGCCAAUGCAGGAAGCAUUUUAUGCCUUUUCUCAACAUGCAUUGCUUUCUUUUCAAUUCCUGGAGCAUCUGAUAUCUGUCCUUAACCAGAGUCCUGUUGAUAAGGUUGAUUUGGAGAAAGGAAACAGUUCUAGCCAUUCUGCUGAUGGUCAGAUAGAGGAUGACAUUCUGCAAGCUGCUAUGUUUGCUCUCACUGCCUUUUUCAGAGGUGGUGGUAAAGUUGGAAAGAGAGCUGUUGAGCAAAGCUAUGCCUCUGUUCUUGCUGCACUUACCCUUCAAUUUGGAAGUUGUCAUGGUCUAGCUAGUUCUGGUCGGCAAGAGCCAUUACGAGCUCUUUUAUCUGCAUUUCAGGCCUUCUGUGAAUGUGUGGGAGACCUUGAAAUGGGAAAGAUUUUGGCUAGAGAUGGAGAGCAAAAUGAAAAGGAGAAGUGGAUCAAUCUUAUUGGGGAUGUAGCAGGCAGCAUUUCUAUAAAGAGACCAAAAGAGGUUCAAACUAUUUCUCUAAUUUUAACUAAAUCCUUAAACCGGCACCAAAGAUUUCAAAGAGAAGCCGCAGCUGCAGCAUUGUCAGAGUUUGUUCGCUAUAGUGGUGGAUUUAGUUCCUUAUUGGAGCAGAUGGUUGAAGCAUUAUGUCGACAUGUAUCAGAUGAGUCUCCAACUGUUAGAUGCCUUUGUUUAAGAGGGCUAGUGCAGAUACCAUCUAUUCAUAUUUAUCAGUACACAACUCAAAUUUUGGGUGUGAUAGUAGCAUUGCUGGAUGAUUUAGAUGAAUCAGUGCAAUUAACUGCUGUUUCAUGCUUACUGACGGUACUUGAGUCAUCACCCAGUGAUGCAGUAGAGCCCAUUUUGCUUAAUCUUUCUGUCCGGCUUCGCAAUCUUCAAAUAUGCUUGAACACGAAGAUACGAUCCACUGCCUUUGCUGCAUUUGGAACACUAAGCAGCUAUGGAGUUGGGGCACAUCAUGAAAUAUUUCUUGAACAGAUACAUGCUGCUAUUCCUCGCUUGAUUUUGCACCUUCAUGAUGAAGAUAUUAGUGUGCGACAAGCUUGCCGAAACACUCUCAAACGUAUUACCCCCUUGAUGGAGAUGGAAGGGUUAGCUACAUUAUUGAAUUUGCAGUAUUUCACUUCUGAUCAUCGAAAUGACUAUGAGGACUUUCUUAGAGACUUCACUAGGCAGAUUGCCCAGCAUCUUCCUUCCAGAGUAGACACUUACAUGGUAUCAACGAUACAGGCGUUGGAUGCACCUUGGCCAAUAAUACAGGCAAAUGCUAUUUAUUUGGCAAGCAGCAUGCUAUCACUUUCAGAUGAUCAGCGCAUUUUAGCCCUAUACUACACAAAGGUGUUUGGGAUGCUGGUGGGGAAGAUAAGUCGGUCAGCAGAUGCAGUUGUUAGGGCAACAUGCUCCUCAGCUCUGGGCUUGUUGCUUAAAUCAACUAAUUCUCUCUCAUGGAGAACAGCUCGACUUGAUCGAGUGGAAUCAUUUCGAAGGGGCCAUGAUUCUGAGUCUAAAAGGUAGUGGUAGAAACAGGAUAAAUGAAAAUGAUAGUGUUGGCGACCUUUAUGUUGAUCCCCAUCCGUGUGUAUAACACAGCUGAUUAUUCUGCAAUUAGUUUGAGUGUGCAAGACCUCUCUGGCUGCUAUUUAAAGAGUUCAUGAGUGAUGACAAUGCAAAAGGUGGGGAAUUUGCCUUUACUGGUGAGUGGUGACACUUACAAUCAAUCUCAUUUGUGGAAGCAAGCUGGAUGUUGAAACUUAAAUAUCAUUGUAAAAUUUACAGCUUUGGCAAAUGUAAUUUAGAAUAUGCCGAGUUGUUUGGUAUAAAGCUUGUACUAGCCACUUUGGUAUCCCAUCACUAUUUUCCUGUUCAGGUUUGGUUGUAAAAGUCUGUAAAACUGUUCUCAAGCGGCAGAUCCCCCCUUUUUCAAUGCAUGCCGAGCUUUUAUUAGCCUUCAGAAUUACAGGAUUUUUCAGCUCAUCUGCUGCAGAAUUUGUAAAAUACAAUUAUUGUAAAUUUUAUAUAAUAUAGUGUGAUUUGUUUCAAUAAAAAAUAAAUGUAAUUGAAAGUAUAUUAUUCCCAUUAAAAUUGAGUGUGGUUGUUCUCUC
rnacentral:misc_RNA from 1 species